rnacentral:rRNA from 1 species
UACGUAGGGUGCGAGCGUUGUCCGGAAUUAUUGGGCGUAAAGAGCUUGUAGGCGGUUUGUCGCGUCUGCUGUGAAAAUCCGGGGCUCAACCCCCGGACUGCAGUGGGUACGGGGCAGACUAGAGUGUGGUAGGGGGAGACUGGAAUUCCUGGUGUAGCGGUGAAAUGCGCAGAUAUCGGGAGGAACACCGGUGGCGAAGGCGGGG